GUUAAUGCUUACGACCCAGUAUGUGCUACAGUACAGAGGUUAAUGCUUACGACCCAGUAUGUGCUACAGUACAGAGGUUAAUGCAUACGACCCAGUAUGUGCUACAGUACAGAGGUUAAUGCAUACGACCCAGUAUGUGCUACAGUACAGAGGUUAAUGCAUACGACCCAGUAUGUGCUACAGUACAGAGGUUAAUGCAUACGACCCAGUAUGCGGCGCAUUCGAAAAGUAUUCAGACCCCUUCCCCUUUUCCACAUUUUGUUACGUUACAGCCUUGUUCUAAAAUUUAUUAAAUCAACUUGUUUUUCUCAUAAAUCUACACACAAUACCCCAUAAUGUCAAAGCGAUUAAAAAAAAAAAAAAAUUAAACAUUUUUGAAAAUGUAUUAAUAUAAAAAAAAACAUAAAUACCUUAAUUAUAUAAGUAUUCAGAUUCGCUAUGAGACUAAAAAUUGAUAUCAGGUGCAUCUUGUUUCCAUUGAAACAAGUUUCUACAACCUGGAGUCCACCUGUGAUAAAUUAAAUCGAUUGGACAUGAUUUGGAAAGGCACACACCUGUCUAUAUAAGGUCCCACAGUUGACAGUACAUGUCAGAGCAAAAACCAAGCCAUGAGGUCGAAGGAAAUGUCCGUAGAGCCCUAAGACAGGACUGUGUUGAGGCACAGGUCUGAGCAAGGGCACCAAAACAUUUCUGCAGCAUUGAAGGUCCCCAAGAACACAUUAGCCUCCAUCAUUCUUAAAUGGAAUAAGUUUGGAACCACCAAGACUCUUCCUGGAGCUGGCCUCUGGCCAAACUGAGCAAUCAGGGGAGAAGGGUCCUCUGAGACUCUUUUAGAUAGAGAAGGAGAGGGGAGGUGC
ensembl:lncRNA